rnacentral:snRNA from 1 species
GGAUGUGAGGGUGAUCUGGCUGCGACAUCUGUCACCCCAUUGAUCGCCAGGGUUGAUUCGGCUGAUCUGGCUGGCUAGGCGGGUGUCCCCUUCCUCCCUCACCGCUCCAUGUGCGUCCCUCCCGAAGCUGCGUGCUCGGUGGAAGAGGACGACCUUCCCCGAAUAGAUGAGGACCGGUCUUCGGUCAAGGGUAUAGGAGUAGCUGUGCUCCCCUGCUAGAACCUCCAAACAAGCUCUCAAAUAAAAUUUUGUUUAUGGAGCUGGGCAUAUCAGCACAUGCCUGUAAUCUUAGCAUUUAGGGAUUAGGCAAGAGGAUCAAGAGUU